rnacentral:lncRNA from 12 species
AAAGUAAUACACAAUAAUUUCAGGUUAAGAGUCAGAGAGGGAAGAUGUACUAGUUUUUUUUAAUUGUGUUUUAAAGGGAGUGACUUGGCAACAUUACAAGCUUUUGUGUGAUUUGUUGGCUGCUGCCAAGUGAUCCUAAAUGGAAAGGAUGAAAUCACUGGCUUCAUGUUUCUCUUGUGGUUUUGGGGAGCAAAAUGCAUUUUACAAGUCUCCUGCAAGGCCUUAGCUCGUACUGGAGACAGAUAAAAUUCCAACCACAUAGUGCAGGGCCUGUGCUGUUUCUCAAGCUAUCUGUGCUGUGUUCCCGUGAAGAGCAAUUUCAGUGCCACAGAACAUGUCUGCAAAGCAAAAUGAAGGGGCAGUUGCAGGAUGGGUAG